UGGUUUUUGAGUUUAGUUGCCUGUGCAGCAGCGAUCCUGGUAAACAUCGCUCCUCUUGGUGGACUUCUCUUUAAUUCCCUUCUAGCUUCUCUCUCUCUCUCUCUCUCUUGGAAUCUCUCACGCUUUACAUUGUUGAGUUUACUGCCGUGAAUUGGAGCCUCGGAGGUUUUGUUUGUGAUUUUUGGCUCUACGUUAGUGAGGAGGGUGUUUCUGUGCUUGCAUUCUGUUUCAGUUCGGACGGUUUCGAGCUGAGUUCGUCCAGUAUGUUGAGCACGCAAGAUGAGAAGUCCAUGGAGGUGGGUUUUGGGAGGAGCCGUCAGUCGCUUGAAGGAUGGGUUCGUAUGGCCGCUCUUCGGUCGGUUCGUGCGCCGUUGCGUGGCUUCUCUUACAAGAAGCAGAAAGAUUACUCCUCUGUUGUUGAGAAAUUGGAAAUUGUCGCGCCUUCUGCCGAGGACGAGGAAUCGCGAGAGUUCGGUUGCGAGACACCCAAAUCCGUGGACCAUAUGAUACCUGCUGUUGAAAUCGAUUUAUGUCCUCCAGCUCCGAAAAAGCCCCGCGGUGUGGGUCGAUUGGCACUUGCUUGCUCCGUUGCAUCUGAGGACCAUGGCACUUGCCAGGAAUUGCGCUUGGCACCGUGCUACUUGUUUUGAGCAGUUUUUGAGAAGGCAUUCUAAGGCAAUUUUACAGAUUUCGGCUAGGAAUUGCAGAUGGGUCGUACAUUUGAGAUGAAGGAUAGGGUGUGUUUUGGCAUGACGACCCUCCACAAUAGGGACAUUGAUCUCUACAUGUGAUGGGGUGUACGUGAUUUAAUUUUUGAAAGGUAGGUGCAUUGAACCACUAAUUUUUAAAAAGUUGGUGCCUCGUAAUCUUCCCCGCAGUAUUAUGCGCGUAAUUGCUCGUUCUGUGACACAGCUGUAGUUGCGAACCCUGAGCUGGUUGCAGCUGCAUGCACCCGAACGCGUGGUGCUUUUUUCCCUGGGAUUUUCGCCGUGUGUGCGUGUCAUUUCGAUGCCACGGUUAGUUUAUGAGAUAGAACCAGGAUUCAUGUUUAUAUAUAUAUAUAUAUAUAUAUAUAUAUAUUAGUCUAGGCUCGAUUAAUCAUUAACAUUGCUACAUUCGAGACAGCCGAUCUGCAUUUGAAGGCGCGGUGAUAGUAUUGUCAUGAAUGGUAUGCUUCUCCAUCUAGAUUUUAUCGAUGAUCACCGGCGGUAUCGAUGGGGUAAUCAAGCCUUGCGAGACAUCUUCAACGAUUUGGAGUCCGAGUCUGCGAGGACUAGGAUGACUUCAGAUGUCGUACUCACUGUUUGAUGGAAGCAAGAAGUUAGUUUGAGUGCUGAAGCGGCCGAAGUUAUCUGUGAUGUGAAUGACCGAUGCGUGGAAUCUGGCUCAAUAGUGAGAAUUUAUCGGCAUUCCAGCCUUUGGGUAUGAACAAGGAAUGCCACUUGGCUUUCGACAGUGGUAACAACUUAUUUUAAAGGAGGAAUAUUUCCUCUUUUACUGUUCUUUGACUCGGGGAUAGAAGCAAAUGCAGUGUCGUCAGACCUAUACUACGUCCACAUGUUGGUGUGGAGCGGGCGAUGCAGCGGGCUUCACGAUAAUCGCAACAGAAACAGCUUUUAUCUCCAUUUGAUCUGCACUAGGUGUCGGUGUUUCUUCAACGCCUUAACGACAGCAGCGGCUGUUGGUGUAUUGUAUGAUGAACAUGGGCCAACUGUUCCUGUACAAUGCCACAAACUGCCUUUCAUUUUUAAUUUCGUUUCAUUUUCGAUUAACGGACUCUAAAGAAGUCUUAAUGCAAGGCUAGAUGGUAACUGUUUCUCACCAUCAUAUAUGGACCUCGUCACAUAGGUUAGUGAAAUUGUAGUGUACUCUCAAUGCAGUGUUGCCCGUGUUAAUGUAGUACACAAUUUGUGAAGACAUAGAGUGUUUGGAAUGUGCACAGGUCGGAUAUCUAAUGGAAUAGGAGUGGCUAGUAGAGCAUCAGAUGUGCCCAGCCAUGGCGGUUCUGAAGACAGCAUUCCAAAUCAUAGACAUUCCACAUUAGUUCUUGUGAUUGGAUUAGGCGAAUCACAUGAUUUGUCCUAGUAACCUUUGUAUUUUUACCUGGUGUAUCAUUUUAGCAAUCAAACUGAUAACUCCAGGUCUACUACUAUUACUUGCAGUGUAUGUUAAAAGCCUUUGGGACAAGGCUUAUGCACUUGUCCUCAAUGACCAAAGUUCGUGCAGUUUUGUUUCUAA